GUGGUGUGGACGGAGAAAGUGAAAGGUGAGGCACGGCCCUGCAGAUUUUCCAGCGGAUCCCCCGGUGGCCUCAUGUCGCGCAGUGGAACCGAUCCUCAGCAACGCCAGCAGGCGUCAGAGGCGGACGCCGCAGCAGCAACCUUCCGGGCAAACGGAUGAGUGGGUGCUGGUGUCAGCUCACCGCAUGAAGCGGCCCUGGCAGGGUCAAGUGGAGCCCCAGCUUCUGAAGACAGUGCCCCGCCAUGACCCUCUCAACCCUCUGUGUCCUGGGGCCAUCCGAGCCAACGGAGAGGUAAGCCUGUAGAGCCCUGCAUCUGCAGGCUGGGCCACGGGGAGUAGUUCCCUCUUAGAACUGUCCUCCACCCACAGGGAUAGUGAACCUCCUUCUGGGUCAUAUCCCACCAAGCUUUUUGGUCCCCUAGGGUGGGCCUUCCCUACUCCCUUGUAGCCUGUCCAGUCUUUGAAGCCCACCAGGUAACUGGUGGUAUGGGGCAGUGAGUGCUUCUAGCCUAUCCUUGUCGGUAGGUGAAUCCCCAGUACGAUAGCACCUU
rnacentral:lncRNA from 1 species